rnacentral:lncRNA from 1 species
UCUCUCUCUCUCUCUCUCUCUCUCUCUCUCUCUCUCUCCCCUGACCUAAACUGACAUACAGGAAUAUACUCGGUGCAAGUGCAUCGCAAUGACCAGAAGGUUACCGUGUGGGGCAUCUGCAGCAAAGACGCGGUGCUCGCCGCCGUGAAGAAGAAGAGGAGAGGAGCCCAUUUCUGGGAUCAGGAGGAGGACGACGCCGGGAAGGAAGGAGGGGCCCCGGCCGCGGAGGAGACGGUAGAGCAGGAGAGCACCACUGACGAGCACACAUCUCCCCCCAAGGCCGGAGGAAAAAGCAUCCUCCUAUGGGCUUUCCAGAUCCGAAAGACUUGGAAGCGGCUGUUCCCCUGCCGCCGCCGUCGAACCACCGCUAGCGCCGUCGCAUUACACCCCGAUGCAUGCGAUCACCAAUAAAGCCAAAGACAUGACUUCCCGUCGUGUGAUCAUCUGGGUCGGGACUGUCGAUGAAAUAACCCUUCUGGCCUUAUUUUACGAGAAUUUCUGAUUGAAGAAGGGUUGCAUCUAUGAAAGUAUUUAUAUCCACUAAGAGGUGCAUAAUUAUGCCGCGCAUAUUCACCUUACUCACUGCGCAACUCGCUAGCCGUUCAAGCAAAGUUCUACAGAAAUAAGAAGCUAGUGUGAGUAUCCACAGAUGAAGAUCAGGCCGCAAGGAAGUGAGGGAGUAUCCACAGACGCAGCGAUUCCUGAUGAAUCAGAUCAGAACCCCAAAGGAGAAGCCAAACGGGUUCUCCGCGCAUACCUGCCCGUGCGUUUGGCCCAGUAACGAGCGGGAGACUGCGAUUCACACAACUCAAUAGGAAAGAGGACUCUCUCGUCGGCUUCGGUACCUUCUAACGUGGCAAAAGAUGACGAGGUGGCACUUACGAGGAAUGGGUGUGAAAAGUCCAUUGCCAUCAUAACGCAGGCCCCAAAGAGUCAACUUACUCGGCACGCCACUAGAUUAGUCGCCCACGGGACUCAUCCUCUCUAGGGGCAGCGCUACCCUCCUCUGGGCGACAACAGUAACUAAUGGUGACCACGACUGCUCUCUUCCUAAGCUGCUGCAACUCAGAACGGCUGUCUCUACGUUUGUCCCAGUAAAGAAAACCAUAGAGAGAGGAGAGAGAGAGAGAGGUCCAGUCCCAUCUGUCGCCGCCACGGUAGGCGAAGACAUCAGGUCCCCGUAGAACCCUGGGCGGCAGGCCCGCCAACUGGGAGUCGACUGGAGAAAACGUGUUCCCUUCUGGUGCAACGGGCCGGCGACCCUGGGCGGCCAGAGGAAGCUCUGACCCUCCUGGCGAGGAGUGGAAUCAGCGGCAUUAAUGAAUUGGACUGGAGGAGACGGAGACGGAGACGAAGAGAGAGGGGAGGCACUGUUCCCGUAGGAGCUGACAGGCUCGCAAGCCGUGCAGAGACGGCAUCUGCCAUUUCUUAUAGCUUCGGACCGUCCAUGGUCCCAUGCAUGAUGAAAGUCGUGCCCAUCUAUGUCGUUCUUCAGACCAGCAACCGGUCUCCCCUUAUUGUAGAUUCCCCUUCCCAGAGCGUCUCUCGGAGACCUCCCAUACCUCUACACGUCAGCGUGAUUCAUCUGUCUCUGUCUGUCUCUCUCCCCUCCCCUCUCCAC